CAGGCGUGCGCCACCACGCCCGGCUUUCCCUCAUGUUUGACAUGUAUGAGAAUGAAGGUUCUGCCUGUGGAACAGCAAGCACAGGAGAAUUUUCAGGUGUCCACUGGGAGAUGUUUGUCUCUGAGGAUGGGACUGUUUCCCUGGCAAUCAUCCCAGUAAGUUUCUAAUGUCAUUCAGUGGUAUACAGCAGCACUGAAAUGCCCUUUAUGUACACCGUGUUCUCAGUUUUUUUCUAGGUUUCCUUGAAGAUGUGUGUGUGAUACCGGGAAGGCUGUAGCCAGAACCACGGGCAAACAUCAGGUCUGCAUUAAGGUCCUGGUACCUUUUUGGUUAUGACGUACUUCUCAGUAUCAAG
rnacentral:lncRNA from 1 species